AUACGGAGGAUCCGAGCGUUAUCCGGAUUUAUUGGGUUUAAAGGGAGCGUAGGUGGACAGUUAAGUCAGUUGUGAAAGUUUGCGGCUCAACCGUAAAACUGCAGUUGAUACUGGCUGUCUUGAGUACAGUAGAGGUGGGCGGAAUUCGUGGUGUAGCGGUGAAAUGCUUAGAUAUCACGAAGAACUCCGAUUGCGAAGGCAACUCACUGGACUGCAACUGACACUGAUGCUCGAAAGUGUGGGUAUCAAACAGGAUUAGAUACCCUGGUAGUCCACACAGUAAACGAUGAAUACUCGCUGUUUGCGAUAUACAGUAAGCGGCCAAGCGAAAGCAUUAAGUAUUCCACCUGGGGAGUACGCCGGCAACGGUGAAACUCAAAGGAAUUGACGGGG
rnacentral:rRNA from 1 species